UCCUCUACUGUGUCGAUUGAACCGAGUUAUUGAACCCAUCAUUGAUAUUUGCGUCAUUCAUAUCUGAAAUUUCAGAUUAUGUGUUUAUAUCUUCUUGCUUGUGUUCUUCGAUUCGCUUGCAGGAACAACCUUCUUGGCGAGGUCAAUCAAGUUGUGCUUGGUUGAUAACCAACGCAGCAGUGGUGUAACAGUUGCAGGGUUCAAAUCAUGCUAAUUUGAAGCUGGAUUGCCAAUGUCGAGUUCUCCACAAAUCGAACUUACCGGUUACCUCUCGGAAAAUCAGGCCUGAACCUCAUCAAUUGGUAUCAGAUGUCUCAAAUUUACCGCGAGGUAUAAUCACGUUUGCUCUAGAUUCAUAUUUGUUCAUUGCCUACAAUCCACAAAAACCCAAAAAAUAGUUUAAUUUUCCGCUGUCCUAUCACCUAUUGUGCCUUGCAAUUUCGUUUUCACCUUUGCUUUGUUGAGUUUGUGUCCUAUCACCUAAAGUUGUUGGUUUAGAUUGUGUCCGUCGUCGUAGUUCAAUUGCACCGUUGCUGUUUCUUUGUUUUGCGCUGCUAUCCCAUCCACAUUCCCAAACAACAAGUCGAAGCCACCAUAUUUCUCGACUUGUCCCAGCUAGCCGCCUUGUGUGAUCUCUUGUCGCCGCGCUAACCCUAGAUAGGUUGUCAGCCGCUGUUAUUUUGCCUGCUUCGUAGCCCUCCUUACAUCAUCAGACGAAUAUCUAUUGUUGUUAGUCACAAGGAAGAUUCAUCUUGUGAUCGAGGUUGGAGUUUAGGGACGCUUUGCCUUAACUGCCGCCGUCGCCGCUGUGUUUUGCUCGUUUAUCAGGAAAAUCUGAAAUUUUUACAGCAGUUUCUUGACACCAUUUGGACUCAACCCAAACUAUUUGGUCUCAUCAAAAUUGCCAAAAAAAUUCGGAAAAAUAAAGAAAAAAAUGUCAAGGGUUUUGCAUGCUUUUUAGAGAACUUGCUGAAUUUCUGUAGACCACAUCUGACCUCAAUUGUAGGUGCCAAUUUUUGUGGUUACAUCUUUUGUGAUCCUUGUUCAGAAAAAAUAAUAAAAAAUAGUAAAAAAAUAAUAAAUCUUGAUUCCUACUAAUACCUUUUGAGAAAAUCUAGGAAAAAUUAAGAUAAAGGAAAAAUCUGCCCUAUUGCUUGUUCGCUAAGUUCCUCCCAUCAUACUUUGUUUCACCUUAUUGCGCUACGUCUAGACACGUCUUAGCCAGCAAUAGUAAUUUGUCCUUUAGAUACUUAUUGAACUUAGCUAACUCUGCAUUCGAAUAUUGCUAAUCCUUGCUACUUAUAUUGUGCCUGCCCAAAGCUCCACAUAUACUUCUAUUAGCACAAGUUCAUCUUGCAACUGUUUACCCACGCUCAACAACAGAUUG
rnacentral:lncRNA from 1 species